AUUGAACGCUGGCGGCAUGCCUUACACAUGCAAGUCGAACGGUAACAGGUCUUCGGAUGCUGACGAGUGGCGAACGGGUGAGUAAUACAUCGGAACGUGCCCGAUCGUGGGGGAUAACGAAGCGAAAGCUUUGCUAAUACCGCAUAAGAUCUACGGAUGAAAGCAGGGGACCGCAAGGCCUGGCGCGAACGGACCGGCCGAUGGCAGAUUAGGUAGUUGGUGGGAUAAAAGCUUACCAAGCCGACGAUCUUGAGCUGGUCUGAGAGGACGAACAGCCACACUGGGACUGAGACACGGCCCAGACUCCUACGGGAGGCAGCAGUGGGGAAUUUUGGACAAUGGGCGAAAGCCUGAUCCAGCCAUGCCGCGUGCAGGAUGAAGGCCUUCGGGUUGUAAACUGCUUUUGUACGGAACGAAAAGACUCUUUCUAAUAAAGAGGGUCCAUGACGGUACCGUAAGAAUAAGCACCGGCUAACUACGUGCCAGCAGCCGCGGUAACAC
rnacentral:rRNA from 1 species